rnacentral:rRNA from 1 species
CUGUGUGAAUUGCAGAAUCCCGUGAACCAUCGAGUCUUUGAACGCAAGUUGCGCUUGAAGCCAUUAGGCUAAAGGCACAUCUGCUUGGGCGUCA